rnacentral:rRNA from 1 species
UUAAGCGACUAAGCGUACACGGUGGAUGCCCUGGCAGUCAGAGGCGAUGAAGGACGUGCUAAUCUGCGAUAAGCGUCGGUAAGGUUGAUAUGAACCGUUAUAACCGGCGAUUUCCGAAUGGGGAACCCAGUGUGAUUCGUCACACUAUCAUUAACUGAAUCCAUAGGUUAAUGAGGCGAACCGGGGGAACUGAAACAUCUAAGUACCCCGAGGAAAAGAAAUCAACCGAGAUUCCCCCAGUAGCGGCGAGCGAAACGGGGAGGAGCCCAGAGCCUGAAUCAGUGUGUGUGUUAGUGGAAGCGUCUGGAAAGGCGCGCGAUACAGGGUGACAGCCCCGUACACAAAAAUGCACAUGCUGUGAGCUCGAUGAGUAGGGCGGGACACGUGGUAUCCUGUCUGAAUAUGGGGGGACCAUCCUCCAAGGCUAAAUACUCCUGACUGACCGAUAGUGAACCAGUACCGUGAGGGAAAGGCGAAAAGAACCCCGGCGAGGGGAGUGAAAAAGAACCUGAAACCGUGUACGUACAAGCAGUGGGAGCACAGAGCAAUCUGUGUGACUGCGUACCUUUUGUAUAAUGGGUCAGCGACUUAUAUUCUGUAGCAAGGUUAACCGAAUAGGGGAGCCGAAGGGAAACCGAGUCUUAACUGGGCGUUAAGUUGCAGGGUAUAGACCCGAAACCCGGUGAUCUAGCCAUGGGCAGGUUGAAGGUUGGGUAACACUAACUGGAGGACCGAACCGACUAAUGUUGAAAAAUUAGCGGAUGACUUGUGGCUGGGGGUGAAAGGCCAAUCAAACCGGGAGAUAGCUGGUUCUCCCCGAAAGCUAUUUAGGUAGCGCCUCGUGAAUUCAUCUCCGGGGUAGAGCACUGUUUCGGCAAGGGGUCAUCCCGACUUACCAACCCGAUGCAAACUGCGAAUACCGGAGAAUGUUAUCACGGGAGACACACGGCGGGUGCUAACGUCCGUCGUGAAGAGGGAAACAACCCAGACCGCCAGCUAAGGUCCCAAAGUCAUGGUUAAGUGGGAAACGAUGUGGGAAGGCCCAGACAGCCAGGAUGUUGGCUUAGAAGCAGCCAUCAUUUAAAGAAAGCGUAAUAGCUCACUGGUCGAGUCGGCCUGCGCGGAAGAUGUAACGGGGCUAAACCAUGCACCGAAGCUGCGGCAGCGACACUGUGUGUUGUUGGGUAGGGGAGCGUUCUGUAAGCCUGUGAAGGUGUGCUGUGAGGCAUGCUGGAGGUAUCAGAAGUGCGAAUGCUGACAUAAGUAACGAUAAAGCGGGUGAAAAGCCCGCUCGCCGGAAGACCAAGGGUUCCUGUCCAACGUUAAUCGGGGCAGGGUGAGUCGACCCCUAAGGCGAGGCCGAAAGGCGUAGUCGAUGGGAAACAGGUUAAUAUUCCUGUACUUGGUGUUACUGCGAAGGGGGGACGGAGAAGGCUAUGUUGGCCGGGCGACGGUUGUCCCGGUUUAAGCGUGUAGGCUGGUUUUCCAGGCAAAUCCGGAAAAUCAAGGCUGAGGCGUGAUGACGAGGCACUACGGUGCUGAAGCAACAAAUGCCCUGCUUCCAGGAAAAGCCUCUAAGCAUCAGGUAACAUCAAAUCGUACCCCAAACCGACACAGGUGGUCAGGUAGAGAAUACCAAGGCGCUUGAGAGAACUCGGGUGAAGGAACUAGGCAAAAUGGUGCCGUAACUUCGGGAGAAGGCACGCUGAUAUGUAGGUGAAGUCCCUCGCGGAUGGAGCUGAAAUCAGUCGAAGAUACCAGCUGGCUGCAACUGUUUAUUAAAAACACAGCACUGUGCAAACACGAAAGUGGACGUAUACGGUGUGACGCCUGCCCGGUGCCGGAAGGUUAAUUGAUGGGGUCAGCGCAAGCGAAGCUCUUGAUCGAAGCCCCGGUAAACGGCGGCCGUAACUAUAACGGUCCUAAGGUAGCGAAAUUCCUUGUCGGGUAAGUUCCGACCUGCACGAAUGGCGUAAUGAUGGCCAGGCUGUCUCCACCCGAGACUCAGUGAAAUUGAACUCGCUGUGAAGAUGCAGUGUACCCGCGGCAAGACGGAAAGACCCCGUGAACCUUUACUAUAGCUUGACACUGAACAUUGAGCCUUGAUGUGUAGGAUAGGUGGGAGGCUUUGAAGUGUGGACGCCAGUCUGCAUGGAGCCGACCUUGAAAUACCACCCUUUAAUGUUUGAUGUUCUAACGUGGACCCGUGAUCCGGGUUGCGGACAGUGUCUGGUGGGUAGUUUGACUGGGGCGGUCUCCUCCUAAAGAGUAACGGAGGAGCACGAAGGUUGGCUAAUCCUGGUCGGACAUCAGGAGGUUAGUGCAAUGGCAUAAGCCAGCUUGACUGCGGAGCGUGACGGCGCGAGCAGGUGCGAAAGCAGGUCAUAGUGAUCCGGUGGUUCUGAAUGGAAGGGCCAUCGCUCAACGGAUAAAAGGUACUCCGGGGAUAACAGGCUGAUACCGCCCAAGAGUUCAUAUCGACGGCGGUGUUUGGCACCUCGAUGUCGGCUCAUCACAUCCUGGGGCUGAAGUAGGUCCCAAGGGUAUGGCUGUUCGCCAUUUAAAGUGGUACGCGAGCUGGGUUUUAGAACGUCGUGAGACAGUUCGGUCCCUAUCUGCCGUGGGCGCUGGAGAACUGAGGGGGGCUGCUCCUAGUACGAGAGGACCGGAGUGGACGCAUCACUGGUGUUCGGGUUGUCAUGCCAAUGGCACUGCCGGUAGCUAAAUGCGGAAGAGAUAAGUGCUGAAAGCAUCUAAGCACGAAACUUGCCCCGAGAUGAGUUCUCCCUGACCCUUUAAGGGUCCUGAAGGAACGUUGAAGACGACGACGUUGAUAGGCCGGGUGUGUAAGCGCAGCGAUGCGUUGAGCUAACCGGUACUAAUGAACCGUGAGGCUUAACCUU